GACAACAUUUCGAAAGGAAUGCUAAUACCGCAUACGUCCUACGGGAGAAAGCAGGGGAUCUUCGGACCUUGCGCUAAUAGAUGAGCCUAAGUCGGAUUAGCUAGUUGGUGGGGUAAAGGCCUACCAAGGCGACGAUCUGUAGCGGGUCUGAGAGGAUGAUCCGCCACACUGGGACUGAGACACGGCCCAGACUCCUACGGGAGGCAGCAGUGGGGAAUAUUGGACAAUGGGCGCAAGCCUGAUCCAGCCAUGCCGCGUGUGUGAAGAAGGCCUUAUGGUUGUAAAGCACUUUAAGCGAGGAGGAGGCUACUGAAGUUAAUACCUUCAGAUAGUGGACGUUACUCGCAGAAUAAGCACCGGCUAACUCUGUGCCAGCAGCCGCGGUAAUACAGAGGGUGCAAGCGUUAAUCGGAUUUACUGGGCGUAAAGCGCGCGUAGGCGGCUAAUUAAGUCAAAUGUGAAAUCCCCGAGCUUAACUUGGGAAUUGCAUUCGAUACUGGUUAGCUAGAGUGUGGGAGAGGAUGGUAGAAUUCCAGGUGUAGCGGUGAAAUGCGUAGAGAUCUG
rnacentral:rRNA from 2 species